UGAAUACGAGACGCUAAGGCGUCGAAGUAGUGUAUGUCAUACUUCCAAGAAAAGCUUGCACUGUCAUAGAUAAAAAACGCCUGUACCAUAACCGACACAGGUGGGUAGGUAGAGUAUACUAAGGGGCGCGAGAUAACUCUCUCUAAGGAACUCGGCAAAAUAACUCCGUAACUUCGGGAGAAGGAGUGCCUUAUUCGUAAGGUUGCAAUAACAAGAUCCAAGCAACUGUUUAUCAAAAACACAGGUCUCCGCUAAGUCGUAAGACGAUGUAUGGGGGCUGACGCCUGCCCAGUGCCAGAAGGUUAAAGAAGUUGGUUAGCAAUUGCGAAGCUGAUAACUGAAGCCCUGGUGAACGGCGGCCGUAACUAUAACGGUCCUAAGGUAGCGAAAUUCCUUGUCGGGUAAGUUCCGACCCGCACGAAAGGCGUAAUGAUUUGGAUACUGUCUCGGAGAGGGGCUCGGUGAAAUAGACUUGUCUGUGAAGAUGCGGACUACCUGCACCAGGACAGAAAGACCCUAUGAAGCUUUACUGUAACUUGAAAUUGAAAUUGGACUUUAUUCGCGCAGUAUAGGUGGGAGGCGUUGAUUAUAAUCUUGUGGGAUUAUUGGAGCCAUCAGUGAGAUACCACUCUUGUAAUGUUAGAUUUCUAACUUUGAAUCAUUAUCUGGUCAAAGAACAGUUUCAGGCGGGCAGUUUGACUGGGGCGGUCGCCUCCUAAACGGUAACGGAGGCGUACAAAGGUUUCCUCUGAACGGUUAGAAAUCGUAUCUAGAGUGUAAAGGCAUAAGGAAGCUUGACUGUGAGACCUACAAGUCGAGCAGGGACGAAAGUCGGUCUUAGUGAUCUGACGGUACUGAGUGGAAAGGCCGUCACUCAACGGAUAAAAGUUACUCUAAGGAUAACAGGCUGAUCUCCCCCAAGAGUUCACAUCGACGGGGAGGUUUGGCACCUCGAUGUCGGCUCAUCGCAUCCUGGGGCGGUAGUACGUCCCAAGGGUUGGGCUGUUCGCCCAUGAAAGCGGUACGCGAGCUGGGUUCAGAACGUCGUGAGACAGUUCGGUCCAUAUCCGGUGUAGGCGUUAGAAUAUUGAGAGGAGCCUUCUUUAGUACGAGAGGACCGAGAAGGACAUACCUCUGGUAUACCAGUUAUCGUGCCAACGGUAAACGCUGGGUAGCUAUGUAUGGAGUGGAUAACCGCUGAAAGCAUCUAAGUGGGAAGCCCACCUCAAGAUAAGUAUUCUCA
rnacentral:rRNA from 1 species